CAGAGAGCUGCCCAGAAAGGGAGGGAAGCUGCCGGCACAGGGAUUGUCUGGGAAGGGGGUGCCCAGGAGAUGCCCAGGAAAAGAGUGCCCAGGGGAUAUUCGGGAAGGGGGUGCCACGAAGGGAGUGCCCAGGAGAUACCCGGGAAGGGGGUGCCGGGGAAGGAGGUGCCCAGGAGAUGUCCGGGAAGGGAGGAGAGUGCCAGCAGACGCUGGUGCACGGCGUGCUCAAGAAACGGAUGCCCAGGAAACAGCCAGCAAAGGGGUGCCGGGGGAGGAGGUGAGCAGGGGAUGCCCAGGAAAGAGGUGCUGGGUGAGGAGGUGUGGAGGUGAUGCCCAGGAAAGGGGUGCUGGAUGAGGAGGCGAGCAGGGGAUGCCCAGGAAAGGGGUGCUGGGGGAGGAGGCGAGUAGGGGAUGCCCAGGAAA